GUUGCACUUUGUAAAUACAGCUGUUUCUCAAAAGACGCCUCUUUUGCCAAGUCAGGAAUAUGACAGUUCUUGUCCAUUCAUUUGUGAUGCGUUUUGUUAUUUGAUUUUGCCAUGUGAUUAUGGACUUUCCGAAUUGAUUUUCCUCUGAGUUCAGUAUUUUUGUGAUUUUACUUUUUUGUAAAUACAGCUGUUUCUCAAACCACACCUCUUUUGGAGAGAUAUAGAAUAUUUACAGAUAAUUUUAUUUGUUUACAUUUUCCCAGUUAUGAUCUCUAUGUUUCAUCUCAUAUAGACAUAACUUGGAAAUGCUACCAGUAAAUAUACACAUGCAUAUUGUUUAUAUUGAAAUCUAAGGUAAUCCUACAGAUAAGGUAGGGGUCGUUUAAACUCUUAGAAGUUCGAGGUAUAUAAACAUUGGAACCCUUAAGGAGUUAUUGCCCUUUAUAGUCGAUGUUUAAUUAUUUAUCAAAAUUUUAGUAUUCUUUUUUAAAAAUCUUCUCUUCUGAAAUUACUGGACCAAAUUUAACCAAAUUUGUCCACAAUCAUCAUUAGAGUAUCUAGUUUAAAAAAUGUGUGGCGUGACCUGGCCGACCAAUCAAGCCAUGGCUAAAAAUAGUACAUAAGGGUAAAAUGUAGAUUUUGGCUUAUAUCUCUGACACCAAAGCAUUUAGAGCAAAUCUGACGCGGGAUAAAAUUGUUUAUCAGAUGAAGAUCUAUCUGCCCUGAAAUUUUCAGACAAAUCAGUUUCUGCCCCCAAAAUAGUAAUUUUAAAUAAAAUUUGCAGUUUUUGGUUAUUAUCUUGAAUAUUAUUAUAGAUAGAAAUGAACUGUAAACAGCAAUAAUGUUCAACAAAGAAAGGUAUACAACUAAGUCAACAUAACCAAAAUUUUCAAAUGACCCUUUAAGGAGAUAUCGCCCUUUAUAGUCAAUGUUUAACAAUUUUCAUAAAUUUUGUUAAUUUUUGUUAAUUUUUAGGAAAUAUUUUCCACUGUAAUUACUGGGCAAAGUUCAUUAUAGAUAUAGAUAUUUGUAGCAACAAGAAUGUUCAGUAAAGUAAGAUCUACAAACACAUCACCAUCACAAAAAAACAAAAUUUGUCAUGAAUUUAUCUGUGUCCAUUUUUUAAUAUGCACAUAGACCAAGG
rnacentral:lncRNA from 1 species